rnacentral:lncRNA from 1 species
GAAGAGAAGGGCUAAUCCUAAAGCCUACAAAGAUAAGAGGGAAGAUAAAACCCUUGGAGUUCCUUUCUUAAGAUCAUAAAGAUGAUCCAAGAUGCUCCUUUCCUUUGGACUUAGCUAAUAACUCAAGUAAUCAAACAAAUAUUCAAUCAAGCUCUUAAGAUCUCCAUUUGGCUUGUCUUUCAUAACUUGGUUAUCCAUGACAAUGGUCCUUCUAAUUAUCUCAAGUUUGAAAUCCCUAUCACACAAAAAC